rfam:Oryza brachyantha chromosome 3, whole genome shotgun sequence.
AAUAACUUUAUUUUUCGUUUUUCCAUGUCCAAUGUUUGACCAUUCAUCUUAUUUAAAAUUUUUUUACGAUUAAUAUUUUUAUUAUUACUAGAUGAUAAAAUAUAAAUAGUACUUUAUACAUGACUAAUUUUUGAAGCUUUUGUACAAAUUUUUCAAAUAAGACGAAUGGUCAAACUUAGACGAGGAAAAACA